rnacentral:rRNA from 1 species
UACGUAGGUGGCAAGCGUUGUCCGGAUUUAUUGGGCGUAAAGAGCGUGUAGGCGGCCAGACAAGUCUGCUGUGAAAACUCGAGGCUCAACCUCGAGCUGUCGGUGGAAACUGUCUGGCUAGAGUCCGGAAGAGGAGAGUGGAAUUCCUGGUGUAGCGGUGAAAUGCGCAGAUAUCAGGAAGAACACCUAUGGCGAAGGCAGCUCUCUGGGACGGUACUGACGCUGAGACGCGAAAGCGUGGGGAGCGAACAGG